rnacentral:tRNA from 1 species
GGAGAAUUUGGUAGCUCAGUGGUUGAGUGCAUGCUCUGUAUGUAUGAUGUCCAGGGUUCAAUCCCCAGCUGCUCCC